CUUUGCAGAGGCUGAGCUUUACAGGCCUAGCCAUCCUGAAAUAGCUGAGACAUGAUCAUCCAUUACCUUGAUGCCUGUCUUUCAGGGAGACAGUUCCAGAGACUGGCCCAGGAAAACAAAUUAUAUAUUCCUCCUCAUUAAAAUGUCUCAGCAAGACCCUUAAAUCAGGCUUUGAGGUCCAGGUUCCAACUACUUCUCAGUUAGAAUUUCUCCUGGGCGUUUUGGUGGUUCUUGCCAAAUUGGGUAGUUCCCAAUGUGGGGACUGUUUCUAAAUCAGGGUCUGAGAGCAACCAGCCUCCUUAGGAAAACGACGAAAGAAAUUCAAAUGGAAAAGAAGUAUUAAUUAGCCCUUAUAUAGCACUUCAUGGCUUUCUCAGGUGCAAUUUUAAGUGCUUUACAUAGAUAGGUAUUGAGAUAGACUAUAUUAUUGUCCCAUAUGUUCUCUGUACCUCUUUGUGGGAGGAUUACACCUCCCUACCAUGUUGACAUCAAGCUUAGCCAUGUAACUGUUUUGCCAAGGAAAUGUAGACAGAAGACACAUACAUCAUUUUCAAGAAGAAGCCUAAAGAGCCGUUUCAUGGAUCCACCAUCAACCAUACUUCCUGCUGCCCUAACACCAGCAAUGAUGUAGAUAAGGGCUCCUCCUUCAGUCUGGUUCCAGAGGGAAAGGCUAAAGCCAGCCUGCAAUGGACAUGUGAUAUAAGCAAGAAAUACAUCUUUGUUCCUGUAAGCCACCGAGUGUUUGGAGUUGUUUGUUAUCACAGAACAACUUAGUGUGAGCUAUUAUCAUUAUCACCAUUUAACAAAUGAAGGAACCAAGGCAGAGACUGUGCAGCUUAAAGAAUCUCAUCCAACCAGGAAGUGGGAGAACUAGGAUUCACAUCUGGGCAGCCUGGCUUCAUAGUCCAUGCUCUCAACCACUUGACUAAUUGCCUCUGAAAGUGUCUGUUGUUUUCCUUCAAAACUCCUUUAGCUGACAGUAUCUCCACGCAUGCCGUUUUUCUUCAUUUCCCAUGGAGGUAAUUAAGAAUAACUGGCAGAUCAUUUGUUUCUCAGUAGGUAGAGGAGACCAGGUAGAUGACUCUGUGUAAGAAAACAACAGGUGGCCGGGCGUGGUGGCUCAUGCCUGUAACCCCAGCACUUUGGGAGGCCGAGGUGGGUGGAUCACAAGGUCAGGAGAUCAAGACCAGCCUGGCCAACAUGGUGAAACCCUGUCUCUACUAAAAAUACAAAAAUCAGCUGGGUGUGGCGGCGCAUGACUGUAAUCCCAACUACUCUGGAAGCGGAGGCAAGAGAAUCUCUUGAACCUGGGAGGCGGAGGUUGCGGUGAGCCGAGAUCGCACCACUGCAUUCCAGCCAGAGCUAGACUCCGUCUCAAAAAAAAAAAACAAAACAAAACAUAAUAGGUUACUGAAGGAGCCAGACUCAUUGGUAUGCAAAACCAGAAACAACUUUAUUUUUUCCAUGUCGCAGUCUUGCAGGAAUUAACAAACUAUUCAUCAUUAGAGAUUUAAAAACUGAGACCAAGCCUAAUAUCAAAACACUAACUUCCCAACUAUUUGAAAGCUGCUCUCCUGCCUCAGGUUUGGAAUUUGCAGUAGGAAGGGAGUCACGGCUGGCUUCCUCCUUAUUUCCCUUCCACGCCUCCUCCACUCACCUGGCUACCUCAAGCUCUUGCAAAAUGGGGGCUGGGAGUGGGGUGGGGGUAAGAGGCAGGGAAAAUUCUCACUUGGCUUUAGUGCCCUCUGGGUUUGGCAGGAGGUCCCAUGUUGCCUCUUUGUGACAAGGGCCUCUAUGAUGGAUCCCCCAGAAAGUCUGUUGGGAC
rnacentral:lncRNA from 1 species